rnacentral:miRNA from 1 species
UAUAUUGUUUCUUAUUUUAUGUG